AACGAACGCUGGCGGCAGGCUUAACACAUGCAAGUUGAACGGGAACAUACGAUAGCUUGCUAUAGUAUGUGAGAGUGGCGCACGGGUGAGUAAUACAUGGGAACAUACCUUGAAGUGGGGGAUAACUUCUGGAAACGGAUGCUAAUACCGCAUAAGCCCACAGCUCCGCAUGGAGCAGAGGGAAAAGGAGCGAUCCGCUUUGAGAUGGCCUCGCGUCCGAUUAGCUAGUUGGUGAGGUAACGGCCCACCAAGGCAACGAUCGGUAGCCGGACUGAGAGGUUGAUCGGCCACAUUGGGACUGAGACACGGCCCAG
rnacentral:rRNA from 1 species